CGGCGGACGGGUGAGUAACGCGUGGGUAACCUACCCUGUACACACGGAUAACAUACCGAAAGGUAAUGCUAAUACGGGAUAAUAUAUUUGAGAGGCAUCUCUUGAAUAUCAAAGGUGAGCCAGUACAGGAUGGACCCGCGUCUGAUUAGCUAGUUGGUAAGGUAACGGCUUACCAAGGCGACGAUCAGUAGCCGACCUGAGAGGGUGAUCGGCCACAUUGGAACUGAGACACGGUCCAA
rnacentral:rRNA from 1 species